CUACGGGUCGCAGCAGUGGGGAAUAUUGGACAAUGGGGGAAACCCUGAUCCAGCAAUGCCGCGUGUGUGAAGAAGGCCUGCGGGUUGUAAAGCACUUUCGGUUGGGAGGACUGCUUCUAGCACUAAUAUUGUUGGAAGUUGACGUUACCUUCAGAAGAAGCACCGGCUAACUCCGUGCCAGCAGCCGCGGUAAUACGGAGGGUGCAAGCGUGAAUCGGAAUUACUGGGCGUAAAGCGCGCGUAGGCGGCUAGAUCAGUCGGGUGUGAAAGCCCCGGGCUUAACCUGGGAACUGCAUCCGAUACUGUCUAGCUUGAGUACCGGAGAGGAGAGUGGAAUUCCACAGGUAGCGGUGAAAUGCGUAGAUAUGUGGAGGAACACCAAUGGCGAAGGCAGCUCUCUGGCCUGAUACUGACGCUGAGGUGCGAAAGCGUGGGGAGCAAACAGGAUUAGAUACCCCCGUAGUC
rnacentral:rRNA from 1 species